CCCAGACUCCUACGGGAGGCAGCAGUGGGGGAUAUUGCACAAUGGGGGGAACCCUGAUGCAGCGACGCCGCGUGGGUGAAGAAGCGCCUCGGCGCGUAAAGCCCUGUCAGCAGGGAAGAAAAUGACGGUACCUGAAGAAGAAGCCCCGGCUAACUACGUGCCAGCAGCCGCGGUAAUACGUAGGGGGCAAGCGUUAUCCGGAUUUACUGGGUGUAAAGGGGGCGCAGACGGCGAUGCAAGCCAGGAGUGAAAGCCCGGGGCCCAACCCCAGGACUGCUCUUGGAACUGCGUGGCUGGAGUGCAGGAGAGGCAAUCGGAAUUCCGUGUGUAGCGGUGAAAUGCGUAGAUAUACGGAGGAACACCAGUGGCGAAGGCGGAUUGCUGGACAGUAACUGACGCUGAGGCGCGAAAGCGUGGGGAGCAAACAGGAUUAGAUACCCGCGUAA
rnacentral:rRNA from 1 species